rnacentral:rRNA from 1 species
UACGUAGGGUGCAAGCGUUGUCCGGAAUUAUUGGGCGGAAAGAGCUCGUAGGCGGUUUGUCGCGUCGAAUGUGAAAACCCGGGGCUCAACCCCGGGCCUGCAUUCGAUACGGGCAGACUAGAGUUCGGUAGGGGAGUCUGGAAUUCCUGGUGUAGCGGUGAAAUGCGCAGAUAUCAGGAGGAACACCGGUGGCGAAGGCGGGACUCUGGGCCGAUACUGACGCUGAGGAGCGAAAGCGUGGGGAGCAAACAGG